rnacentral:rRNA from 1 species
UAUCUCUGUAGAGUCUGCAUAUCAAUAAGCGGAGGAAAAGAAACUAACUAGGAUUCCCUCAGUAACGGCGAGUGAAGCGGGAAGAGCUCAAAUUUGAAAUCUUCAAGGUUCUACCUUGACGAAUUGUAGUUUAAAGAAGUGUUUUCUGUUGGAGUUUUGGUAAAAGUUCUUUGGAAUAGGACAUCAUAGAGGGUGAGAAUCCCGUAUUUGACCAUUACUUUCCAGCGUUGUGAUACACUUUCAAAGAGUCGGAUUGUUUGGGAAUGCAGUCCAAAAUGGGUGGUAAAUUUCAUCUAAAGCUAAAUACUGGCGAGAGACCGAUAGCGAACAAGUACCGUGAGGGAAAGAUGAAAAGAACUUUGAAAAGAGAGUUAAACAGUACGUGAAAUUGUCAAAAGGGAAGCGUUUGACACCAGUGUUGUUUUCUCGAAAAUCAAUUAAAAAAGGCAGGAUUUUGUGUUGUAUUGACUUUAUCAGCUUUCUGCACUCUUUUCUUGUCUUUUUUAAUGCACUUUUCGUUUAACAAGUCAACAUCAAUUUCUUUUGUUGUAAAAGGGUCAUUGGAAGGUGGCUUUCUUUUCGGAGAAAGUGUUUAUAGCCUUUGGCCUCUGCAAUCGGAGAGAUUGAGGUCUGCAGCGUAGAUCCUUCGGGGUUAAAUAGCAUUUGUGCUAAGUUAUAGCCUUUUCAUAGACAACUUGUUGACUAUGAUCAGUCAUGUAGCUUACUCGCUUAUGCUAUUUUACCUACGCUUAGGAUGUUGAAGAUGUAGCACAUCAU